GAUGAACGCUGGCGGCGUGCCUAAUACAUGCAAGUCGGACGGAGAUUUAGCAAUAGAUCUUAGUGGCGAACGGGUGAGUAACGCGUUGGUGACCUGCCCCGAAGAGAGGGAUAACAGUUCGAAAGGGCUGCUAAUACCGCAUAAUAUCUCACGAGUUAGAGAGGUGAGAUGAAAGGAGCAAUCCGCUUUGGGAGGGGCCUGCGUCCCAUCAGCUAGUUGGUAAGGUAAAAGCCUACCAAGGCGAAGACGGGUAGGGGACCUGAGAGGGUGAUCCCCCACACUGGCACUGAAACACGGGCCAGACACCUACGGGUGGCAGCAGUAGGGAAUAUUGAACAAUGGGCGAAAGCCUGAUGCAGCAACGCCGCGUGCGCGAAGAAGGCCUUCGGGUCGUAAAGCGCUUUUCGGGGAGAUGAGGAAGGACAGUAUCCCCGGAAUAAGGCUCGGCUAACUACAUGCCAGCCGCCGCAGUAAGAC
rnacentral:rRNA from 1 species